rnacentral:rRNA from 1 species
CCUACGGGAGGCAGCAGUGAGGAAUAUUGCGCAAUGGGCGAAAGCCUGACGCAGCAACGCCGCGUGGGCGACGAAGGCCUUCGGGUCGUAAAGCCCUUUUCUGAGGGAAGAGGCAGGACAGUACCUCAGGAAUAAGUCUCGGCUAACUACGUGCCAGCAGCCGCGGUAAAACGUAGGAGGCAAGCGUUAUCCGGAUUUACUGGGCGUAAAGCGCGCGCAGGCGGUUCUGUAAGUUGGACGUGAAAUCUCCUGGCUCAACUGGGAGGGGUCGUCCAAUACUGCGGGACUUGAGGUCGGGAGAGGGAAGCGGAAUUCCCGGUGUAGUGGUGGAAUGCAUAGAUAUCGGGAGGAACACCAGUGGCGAAGGCGGCUUCCUGGCCCGCACCUGACGCUCAAGCGCGAAAGCGUGGGGAGCGAACGGGAUUAGAUACCCCUGUAGU